GGAAUAUUGGUCAAUGGGGGCAACCCUGAACCAGCCAUGCCGCGUGCAGGAAGACAGCCCUAUGGGUCGUAAACUGCUUUUGUACGGGAACAAACCUCUCCCCGUGGGGAGAGCUGAGCGUACCGUAAGAAUAAGGAUCGGCUAACUCCGUGCCAGCAGCCGCGGUAAUACGGAGGAUCCGAGCGUUAUCCGGAUUUAUUGGGUUUAAAGGGAGCGUAGGCGGCCCGUUAAGUCAGGGGUGAAAGACGGUGGCUCAACCAUCGCAGUGCCCUUGAUACUGACAGGCUUGAAUACACUUGAGGUAGGCGGAAUGUGACAAGUAGCGGUGAAAUGCAUAGAUAUGUCACAGAACACCGAUUUCGAAGGCAGCUUACUAAAGUGUGAUUGACGCUGAGGCUCGAAAGCGUGGGGAUCAAA
rnacentral:rRNA from 1 species